AUUGUUUAUUAAGAAAAGAAUUAUAUAUAAAAGAGAAAAGAAAAACAAAAAAAAGAAAAUACAAUUAAACUGAGGAAGAUCAAUCCUUUUAUUUCUCGUGUGUUUUUUCAUUUUUCUUCUUUACUUCAUCCUAUCAUGAUUUUCUUAUCCCUGAAGUGUAUCGUUCCUUGUUACAGAAAAUUUCAAGAAAAAGGUGGAAAGAAAAAGAAUAAAAUAGAAAACGGAAUUAAUCGUUAGAAAGAACGAGAUGAUGAAUUUUUUUCGACUCGAGAGAAUUGUUGUUGAAAAAAAAAAAAAAAGAAGAAUCCAUAAUAGAAUAAUGGUAGUAAGCUUUUUCAGGAUUAUCUUUUUGGAUCAUCUUGUUUUUUUUCUUUUUCUUUUUCUUUUUUUCUUUCUUUCUUUUUUUGCCUUUCUUUAAUCCAGAUUAUCCAGUUCUUUUCAUUUUCCCUCCAAGUGUUAUUUUCUUAUCCAUAUUGCAUUGUUCCUUGUUACAGAAAAUUGCAAGAGAAAAGAAAGAAAACAAUAGCAGAAUUAUCGUUAGAAAGUUGAAACUAGCUGAACGUUUAUAGAUAAGAGAAUUAGCGGAAAAAGAAGAAUUUCGAAAAGAGAAAGAGUAACAAAAGGAAAAAAAAACAAAGAAGGAGGAAACUUAAGGUAAAAAAAUUGUUGCUGAAAUCGAAGAAGAAGAAGAAGAAGGUGUGGCUUCGAAAAAUGAGAAGAAACAUUUAGAAAAUUUAUUAGAAAAAGAGAAAGAAAGAAAGGAGCGAAGAGAUGAGCAAAAAUCUCUGCGUACGAAGGUCAGGUUGAAAUUUAUGAUGUAAUUCGAAAAAAAAAAGGAAGAAGAGGAGGAAGAAGAAGAAGAAGGAGAAGAAGAAAAAGAAGUAGCAGCAGUAAUAAUAGUAGUAAUAGUAGUAGUAGUAGUAGUAGAAUUAGUAAGCCAGGUGUGCAGGUGCACAGAUGAGAUUUUGAGCAUGCUGUGCUUGUUCGCGAGAAUUCAGAAACAGGUGCGCCCUUUUAUUGGACCCCCUUUUAAGAAACUCCUCUCGACACGUAAGAAAGAUUGACUUUGCUUUAUAUUAUUUUUUUUCUAUUUUCAUUCCUUAUUUCUUGCUUCUUUUGUUUCAAAUUAUUAUUAUUAUUAUUAUUACUAUUGUUAUUAUUAUUAUUAUUAUGAUUACAAUUCUUAAAGGUCAUUGAAUACUGAGUUUUCUUCAUUGACAAUGAGUUUCAAUAUGGAAGACAGAGUGCAGUAGCAUUGGCAUCGAUUCGAUCCGAAUACGAAUACGAAUCGAAUCGUGAUUGAUGAUAAUUGUCAUUACUACAUGGGGUAGAGAAAAGCAAUUUUUACUUGAAAAAAAAAUGAGAGAGAGAGAGAGAUAUCUGACUGAUAAAAAAAAAAAAAAAAGAAGAAAUUUA